AGACCCGAAACCCGGUGAUCUAGCCAUGGGCAGGUUGAAGGUUGGGUAACACUAACUGGAGGACCGAACCGACUAAUGUUGAAAAAUUAGCGGAUGACCUGUGGCUGGGGGUGAAAGGCCAAUCAAACCGGGAGAUAGCUGGUUCUCCCCGAAAGCUAUUUAGGUAGCGCCUCGUGAAUUCAUCUCCGGGGGUAGAGCACUGUUUCGGCUAGGGGGCCAUCCCGGCUUACCAACCCGAUGCAAACUGCGAAUACCGGAGAAUGUUAUCACGGGAGACACACGGCGGGUGCUAACGUCCGUCGUGAAGAGGGAAACAACCCAGACCGCCAGCUAAGGUCCCAAAGUCAUGGUUAAGUGGGAAACGAUGUGGGAAGGCCCAGACAGCCAGGAUGUUGGCUUAGAAGCAGCCAUCAUUUAAAGAAAGCGUAAUAGCUCACUGGUCGAGUCGGCCUGCGCGGAAGAUGUAACGGGGCUAAACCAUGCACCGAAGCUGCGGCAGCGACACUCAGGUGUUGUUGGGUAGGGGAGCGUUCUGUAAGCCUGUGAAGGUGGCCUGUGAGGGUUGCUGGAGGUAUCAGAAGUGCGAAUGCUGACAUAAGUAACGAUAAAGCGGGUGAAAAGCCCGCUCGCCGGAAGACCAAGGGUUCCUGUCCAACGUUAAUCGGGGCAGGGUGAGUCGACCCCUAAGGCGAGGCCGAAAGGCGUAGUCGAUGGGAAACGGGUUAAUAUUCCCGUACUUGGUGUUACUGCGAAGGGGGGACGGAGAAGGCUAUGUUGGCCGGGCGACGGUUGUCCCGGUUUAAGCGUGUAGGUGUGUGUUCCAGGUAAAUCCGGUUCACUUUAACACUGAGGCGUGACGACGAGGCACUACGGUGCUGAAGCAACAAAUGCCCUGCUUCCAGGAAAAGCCUCUAAGCAUCAGGUAACAUCAAAUCGUACCCCAAACCGACACAGGUGGUCAGGUAGAGAAUACCAAGGCGCUUGAGAGAACUCGGGUGAAGGAACUAGGCAAAAUGGUGCCGUAACUUCGGGAGAAGGCACGCUGACACGUAGGUGAAGUGAUUUACUCAUGGAGCUGAAGUCAGUCGAAGAUACCAGCUGGCUGCAACUGUUUAUUAAAAACACAGCACUGUGCAAACACGAAAGUGGACGUAUACGGUGUGACGCCUGCCCGGUGCCGGAAGGUUAAUUGAUGGGGUCAGCGCAAGCGAAGCUCCUGAUCGAAGCCCCGGUAAACGGCGGCCGUAACUAUAACGGUCCUAAGGUAGCGAAAUUCCUUGUCGGGUAAGUUCCGACCUGCACGAAUGGCGUAAUGAUGGCCAGGCUGUCUCCACCCGAGACUCAGUGAAAUUGAACUCGCUGUGAAGAUGCAGUGUACCCGCGGCAAGACGGAAAGACCCCGUGAACCUUUACUAUAGCUUGACACUGAACAUUGAGCCUUGAUGUGUAGGAUAGGUGGGAGGCUUUGAAGUGUGGACGCCAGUCUGCAUGGAGCCGACCUUGAAAUACCACCCUUUAAUGUUUGAUGUUCUAACGUGGACCCGUAAUCCGGGUUGCGGACAGUGUCUGGUGGGUAGUUUGACUGGGGCGGUCUCCUCCUAAAGAGUAACGGAGGAGCACGAAGGUUGGCUAAUCCUGGUCGGACAUCAGGAGGUUAGUGCAAUGGCAUAAGCCAGCUUGACUGCGAGCGUGACGGCGCGAGCAGGUGCGAAAGCAGGUCAUAGUGAUCCGGUGGUUCUGAAUGGAAGGGCCAUCGCUCAACGGAUAAAAGGUACUCCGGGGAUAACAGGCUGAUACCGCCCAAGAGUUCAUAUCGACGGCGGUGUUUGGCACCUCGAUGUCGGCUCAUCACAUCCUGGGGCUGAAGUAGGUCCCAAGGGUAUGGCUGUUCGCCAUUUAAAGUGGUACGCGAGCUGGGUUUAGAACGUCGUGAGACAGUUCGGUCCCUAUCUGCCGUGGGCGCUGGAGAACUGAGGGGGGCUGCUCCUAGUACGAGAGGACCGGAGUGGACGCAUCACUGGUGUUCGGGUUGUCAUGCCAAUGGCACUGCCCGGUAGCUAAAUGCGGAAGAGAUAAGUGCUGAAAGCAUCUAAGCACGAAACUUGCCCCGAGAUGAGUUCUCCCUGAGACUUAAAGUCUCCUGAAGGAACGUUGAAGACGACGACGUUGAUAGGCCGGGUGUGUAAGCGCAGCGAUGCGUUGAGCUAACCGGUACUAAUG
rnacentral:rRNA from 1 species